UACGUAGGGUGCGAGCGUUGUCCGGAAUUACUGGGCGUAAAGAGCUCGUAGGCGGUUUGUCGCGUCGUCCGUGAAAACUUGGGGCUCAACCCCAAGCUUGCGGGCGAUACGGGCAGACUUGAGUACUGCAGGGGAGACUGGAAUUCCUGGUGUAGCGGUGAAAUGCGCAGAUAUCAGGAGGAACACCGGUGGCGAAGGCGGGUCUCUGGGCAGUAACUGACGCUGAGGAGCGAAAGCAUGGGGAGCGAACAGG
rnacentral:rRNA from 1 species